CAGGAUCUAUGGGGCCAUAUGGGGAUAUAAUGGGAUAUAAAUGGAUAUAAGGGAUAUAACGGGAUCUAUGGGGCCGUAUGGGGCCAUAUGGGGUUACAAGGGGAUAUAAGGGGAUCUAUGGGGCCGUACGGGGAUACAAGGGAUAUAAGGGGAUCUAUGGGGCCGCAUGGGGCUAUAGAGGGGUACAAGGGACACGAGGGACAUUAUGGGAUGCAUGGGGCACUGACGGAGUUGCAGGCGUUGGCGCGCUCCACUUUGGAGAGGCUCCGCACGUCGGUGUUGAAGACGUUCAUCUUCUCCACCAAACACGUCAGCGCCGUCUCCGUCGCCUCCCCCACCUUCUCGUAAAUCCCUUUGGCCUGCGGGGGCACUUAUGGGGUCAGUGGGGCACCAUGGGGUCAAUGGGACCCAAUGGGGUCAAUGGGGUGGUGGUGGGACUCAAUGGGGUCAAUGGGACCCAAUGGGGUCAAUGGUGGGAGCCAAUGGGGUCAGUGGGACUCAAUGGGGGUCAAUGGGGUGGUGGUGGGAUUCAAUGGGGUCAAUGGGGCACUUAUGGGGUCAGCGGGGCACCAUGGGGUCAGUGGGGCAUCAUGGGGUCAAUGGGGUCGUGGUGCGUCCCAAUGGGGUCAAUAGGACCCAAUGGGGUCAAUGGGGUCAUGGUGCAUCCCAAUGGGGUCAAUGGGGUUGUGGUGGGUCCCAAUGGGUUCAAUGGAAGACAAUGGGGUCAAUGGGGUCGUGGAGGGACUCAGUGGGGUCAGUGGGGCACUAUGGGGUCAAUGGGACCCAUUGGGGUCAAUGGGAUCGUGGUGGGACCCAAUGGGGUCAAUGGAGUCGUGGUGUGUCCCAAUGGGGUCAAUAGGACCCAAUGGGGUCAAUGGGGUCGUGGUGUGUCCCAAUGGGGUCAAUAGGACCCAAAGGGGUCAAUGGGGUCAUGGUGUGUCCCAAUGGUGUCAAUAGGAUCCAAUGGGGUCAGUGGGUUCAUGGUGUGUCCCAAUGGGGUCAAUCGGAUCCAAUGGGGUCAAUAGGGUCAUGGUGUGUCCCAAUGGGGUCAAUAGGACCCAAUCGGGUCAAUGGGGUCGUGGUGUGUCCCAAUGGGGUCAAUGGGGUUGUGGUGGGUCCCAGUGGGGUCAAUAGGACCCAAUG
rnacentral:lncRNA from 1 species